rnacentral:rRNA from 1 species
GACGAACGCUGGCGGCGUGCUUAACACAUGCAAGUCGAACGGAAAGGCCCUGCUUUUGUGGGGUGCUCGAGUGGCGAACGGGUGAGUAACACGUGAGUAACCUGCCCUUGACUUUGGGAUAACUUCAGGAAACUGGGGCUAAUACCGGAUAGGAGCUCCUGCUGCAUGGUGGGGGUUGGAAAGUUUCGGCGGUUGGGGAUGGACUCGCGGCUUAUCAGCUUGUUGGUGGGGUAGUGGCUUACCAAGGCUUUGACGGGUAGCCGGCCUGAGAGGGUGACCGGCCACAUUGGGACUGAGAUACGGCCCAGACUCCUACGGGAGGCAGCAGUGGGGAAUAUUGCACAAUGGGCGGAAGCCUGAUGCAGCAACGCCGCGUGCGGGAUGACGGCCUUCGGGUUGUAAACCGCUUUCGCCUGUGACGAAGCGUGAGUGACGGUAAUGGGUAAAGAAGCACCGGCUAACUACGUGCCAGCAGCCGCGGUGAUACGUAGGGUGCGAGCGUUGUCCGGAUUUAUUGGGCGUAAAGGGCUCGUAGGUGGUUGAUCGCGUCGGAAGUGUAAUCUUGGGGCUUAACCCUGAGCGUGCUUUCGAUACGGGUUGACUUGAGGAAGGUAGGGGAGAAUGGAAUUCCUGGUGGAGCGGUGGAAUGCGCAGAUAUCAGGAGGAACACCAGUGGCGAAGGCGGUUCUCUGGGCCUUUCCUGACGCUGAGGAGCGAAAGCGUGGGGAGCGAACAGGCUUAGAUACCCCGGUAGUCCACGCUGUAAACGGUGGGUACUAGGUGUGGGGUCCAUUCCACGGGUUCCGUGCCGUAGCUAACGCUUUAAGUACCCCGCCUGGGGAGUACGGCCGCAAGGCUAAAACUCAAAGGAAUUGACGGGGCCCCGCACAAGCGGCGGAGCAUGCGGAUUAAUUCGAUGCAACGCGUAGAACCUUACCUGGGUUUGACAUGGAUCGGGAGUGCUCAGAGAUGGGUGUGCCUCUUUUGGGGUCGGUUCACAGGUGGUGCAUGGCUGUCGUCAGCUCGUGUCGUGAGAUGUUGGGUUAAGUCCCGCAACGAGCGCAACCCUUGUUCACUGUUGCCAGCACGUUAUGGUGGGGACUCAGUGGAGACCGCCGGGGUCAACUCGGAGGAAGGUGGGGAUGACGUCAAGCCAUCAUGCCCCUUAUGUCCAGGGCUUCACGCAUGCUACAAUGGCUGGUACAGAGAGUGGCGAGCCUGUGAGGGUGAGCGAAUCUCGGAAAGCCGGUCUCAGUUCGGAUUGGGGUCUGCAACUCGACCUCAUGAAGUCGGAGUCGCUAGUAAUCGCAGAUCAGCAACGCUGCGGUGAAUACGUUCCCGGGGCU